rnacentral:sRNA from 1 species
GCCAGGUGUGGUAGUGUGGUGCACACCUGUAAUCCCAGCUAUUCAAGAGGCUGAGGCAGGAGGAUUGCAAAUUUGAGGUCAGCCUGGGCAACUUAACAAGACCCUGUCUCAA